AACAAUUUAAAAAAAAAAAAAAUCAGAUCAUUUUUAUUUUUAAAUGACAACGAUGAUAGUAGCAAAGAUUUGGUGCUAUGAAAGACCAGUAUUCAAACUUCACCUAUUCAUAAAUGUUUCAGCAUUACAGUGACAGUUUGAAAACUUCUAACCUAUUUGAUUCCAGCUUCCGAUAUUGGAGACAAUUCAAGAUAAUUCAUUAUAAUUACGUGAAAACAAAUGUAACUUUAAAGUUUAAUCAUUUGGGAGAGGGGAAAAUCUACCGCAUCAACAUUUGGUUCCUUGGGAUGCGCACAUG
rnacentral:misc_RNA from 1 species